ensembl:lncRNA
AAAUAAACUUCCUCUUUGGAAUUUCUUAAUGACUGUCAGUGAUGUUCAGUUCAAGUUGGGAGGCAGACAUAUCACCUUUAUAUGGGUGAAGAACAAAGUGGUUCAAGCAACGUACAUUUUCUACACCUUUGAUCAGAGUCUGUUGGUCAUUGUUUGUGUUCUGGAGCCAGACAAACGGGUCAUCGUUGCACUGCUGAUGAGGAGCCUCACACAUACCAGAAUCGCCAGCAGGGUGAGUCAAGAGGCUGCUAGAAAAUAGACGUGAAUUGAAGUGAUGAACCCCUGUUUUCCUGAUGGUUGCUGAUCAUUAAAAGUUGCAUGAAAUCUCUAAAUCUCUGAGUGGUCAGCGUGGAGGCUACAUGUGACUGAAGGACUAAAUUAGAAUGCUGGCCAUCUUUGGAAUCCUGCUGAUGUGCACAGGAGCUGCCAUGGGUUUGCUGUCCAUGAACCCUGUUUGUAGAUUUACUCAGAGUGAUCCAUGUUAUGGAGCUGUGGGACGACCGCUGUACCUGCAGCUGCCAUCUGAGUAUGAAUUAGACUUAAGAAAGCGCUACAGUGGAACCGCUUCUAGUCGCAUUUUUAGAUAUAGAAACCCAUUAAUCACACAUCACCAUGCAGAUUAUCCAAGAUGGGAGUUUGUUGCUGAUAAAAUAAUUAUAAUAAUCAGCAGUGCAGAGAAAAGAGACGCAGGAGGAUACACUUUAGAAACAUUUGAUUCAGCAGGGAUGUCAAAAGGUGUUUAUCGUCUCCAGCUGGUUAUUGAAGAAACAACAACUCAUACAAUGCCCACCACAGCAGCAUCUGUCUCUGCAGUGACCAGUGCAGUGACCAGAUGUGGACAGAUGACACAUUUGGAUACCAGUUUCAAGGUGUUUGUGUCAGUGUGGCUCUUUGAGAUCAUCAUCCUGCUGUCCCUGUUAGUUGGAGCGUUUUACAUCUACACCAGAAUCUACAAGAAACAGAGAGCAGCUGAGAGGCCUGAUGCUCCUAGGUAAGAAACAAGAGGUGGAGGAGGUUCUGUAGACCGAUCUGGGCCAAGAAGAGAAGGAGGUCAUCAUGAAAGGAGAGGAGGAGUCACCAUCACACCAUCCAUCACACACAGUCUAAACCAUCAGCAGAAGAAUAACUCGGCUAAGAAGAAUGUAGGUUUUGGGAAUAUGUUUGUUGAAAUCUGCUACAUAACAUUGAUGUAGCCAUGCAAUAAACAUAUUACCAUUACCAAUAACAGUCAUGAGGUGUUAUGAUAUUCAAAGCAAUAACAAAACAAGGCAAAAAAAAAAACACACACAUGAAAAAUUGUCAUGCACAUCUAAUUAAGUGACUUCUAUUAGUGCUUCAAAAGCUGUGAAGUCUUAGACAUGUUAGAUAAACUUUUGGCCUAUCAUGGUUUGAUUUCCAGUGUUUGGGGGGUGAUUUUAUGAGUCAUAUUAGGCCUUCUGGAAGUCCCCUCACUGACAGUGAGGUAUGAGUUCUAGCCUAAUCAGUGAGUUUGUUAGAAAUUGAAAACAUUGGUGGCAGCUCUAAAUGAGAGCUCACUACUGAAAAGUCACUAUAAAACUGCUACAUGAUCAACGUUUUUGAUCAUUUAAACCUUGUAGUUUUGAAGAUGUAGAUGUAGAUGUUAAUGUGAAUCACCAUUCGCUUAUCGCUAACAGCAAGAAUCCCAUAUAGACAUGGUGGAAGUGAAUAUUAUUUCAGCUGUUUUAAAUGCGUUCAGGGAUCAGAUACAUGAACCAAUCCUGAUACUGUAUAAAGUGAGAAAUCCAUAUAUUAAUCUGCAUGAUGCUAAGUUUUAAAGCAUUACAUGGAUUAGCACCAACAUACGUAAUGUACUGCCGGUCUUUGUUCAUUCUUUGAGGUUCAGCAAUGCAGCCUUUCUUAAACCAGUACAAGUUAAUUUCAUAAGUGAAGAAGUGCUGAGGCACCUUUUAUUUUUGUGCAUCAGCAAGAACAUUCUAAUUUAAAUUAAACAGUACACAACAUCAGUACAACAUAUCAUUUCAAGAAGGGACUGAAAAAAUAUUUUUGUCACCUUCAUUUUCACGAUUCUAUUGCUUGUUUCUUACUUUUUGUACAAAGAUGAUGGCAUUUAUUUUUUAUAGCGAUUUUUAUUUUUAUAGUCCUAUUUCUAGACAUGCAUAUUAAUUGUUUUAUUACUGCUAUUAUCAUACUGUUAUUGGUAUCAUUAUUGUUUUUUCUUUUUAAUGUUACUACUACAUCUUCAGGUAUGUUUCUUGUUUAAUUGUUCUUUUUAUUUUCUUGUCUAUGUUCAUGUGGUCUUAUUCAAAAAUACACCUUGUGAAGGACUUUAAGCUGCAUUCAUGUGGUGCUUUAUAAAAAAGCUUAUUAUUAUCAUUAUUUUAAGUAAAGCUAAUUAUAGUUAAGCAGUGCAGUAAGCCAUAAGAGGCUGUGCAUUACUGAGUUUUUACACAGUUAAGGGAUGUUGUUAGGCAAUAUGAAGUGAGUAAAAUCCCCUUAAACAUGAUAAAAUCCCCGUGACAACACUACCUCGAGUGGCUUAAUGUGUUCAAAUAAGUUAAGUAAUAUUGUAUUUAAAAUGUUUUACUACCCAAUACGCCAAUUUUCAGCUAAUAAUUCAUUAUUAAUCAUUUUUGCAAAAGCAAAUUCUCUUUUGUGUUUAAUAUGUUGAACAUAUUGGUUUUGUCAUUCUCUUGUUUCUGCUCUGUGUAGCUUUACUGCUAAACAGGAUUCCAUGCAAUAAUGCCGUUGUAACAGUCAUGUCAAUAAAGCUUUUAGAUUAAACAGUGUAUAAGAUCUGAUAUAAAGGAGAAGCAUCUGUGCAACAUCCUUCUUGUAUGCAGGUGAGCUUUAACCUGCUUGUGGAGCUACAGGUGCAAGUGAGCGCUUUGGGUCCAGUUCAAAUCAGAACAGUUCAACAACAAGUUCCCUCUCAACUGAUGUGGACACAUCACACAAGAUUUAGUAAGAAUGGAAAGAGGCAGCCACAGUGCUACGAUCAGUAGAACCAGGGUUAUCACACACUGAACUAGACACAGUGCCCAAGAAGUACGCACAUUGUACGCUCCCAGAUUGGUUGGAGGCCUACCCAAUCAAACGGAGAAAUCAUGGAAUAAACCAUAUUUUUAAGAAAAAGAAAUAUGGCUUGUUUUCUGUGAAUGUUAUCACUGUAUUAUGGCCAAAGCCAUUAUGCAGUCCACUGUCUUCGCCAUCUUCAUUGGGCAAAAGUUGUGCCUGUGCUGAGUGGAUGUGUGAUUUAUACUGAAGGGUGCUGUUGAUUAGUGAAGUAAAAUGAUGGUUGUGUAUACGUGAAUCCAGCAUUCUGGUUAAUGUCAAUUGUUCCACUGUCAUUAUGACAUUGCGAUUCAAGGUGUCUAUAAAGUUGCCUGCCCGCUUUAUCACAGGCCUACUCAAAAAUGGAUUUCUGUCUAUGCUCCUGAUGCCAAGCAGUCUUGCUGAGAACAGCUCUCUGCUACUCAUCCCAACAUCCACUUUUCAUUUUCUUUUUCAAACGGACUAACAUGCAAAUAUAUGUUAAUUAGCACUAGGCGGGGCUACAUUUUAGGACAUCCUCAGCUGUCCACGUCAGAAUCGCCAUCAUUCCUCAAGAUAAUAGACUAUGAGUCUCCAGAAAAAACACUGUCAUGACUCAGAUCUGGUAAAACUGAACAUCAGAUGAAACGUCGUCUGACCAAACGGCCUCAGAGAAAAGGUAUCAGACCAAACACAAGCCAGGUCAAGCAUAGACUGGUUGGUAUAACAUAGAAAACUAUUGUGUAUGUCGAUAUAAAUGCCAGUGUAACAUUUUCUGUUUUUUUCUGAGGCCAUUUGAUCACCAAAUCUGAGACAUGGUGGUGUUUUUUCUCGGACAGGUGAGAUUGUCCUAAAAUGUCCCCUGUAGCCCCGCUAGUGCUAAUUAACAUAUAUUUGUAUGUUAGUCAGUUUGAAAAAGAAAAUGAAAAGUGGAAAAUGAAAAGUGAACCUCCAGCAGGUGGCGCUGAUGUCUGUUUACAUUUGCCUUUUUAUUCUGACAGUUAAAGCGCGUCAGCACCGAAAACUAAAUCACAGACAGUCACUUUGCAGUUGAUUUAUGCAUUUUGAAUUUGCAUUUUAAUUUUGUCAUAUUUGCAGGCAAUUGCUAUGAAAAAGAAAUAAGAAAGUAAACUUUGCAUUUUGAUUUUAGUUUUGACACGUAUUCUGCAUUUCACAAAGAAAAGCCAAAGCCAAAGUAAAGCUUGUAUUUUCUUUUCUCUAUUAGCUUUUUCAUUUUAGAUUUGGCCAUGAAAUACCAGAAUAACGACUAAAAUGAAAUGACAAAUAGCUGUUUUCAAUUUAUUUUUAUUUUUGUCACAAAUGACCCGUGCUCAUGUGCAAAAUGAAAUUGUAAAUGUAGGUAUUUCAUUUCAUUUUCAAUUUUGGAAGGAUACAUUGCAGAUGUUUGGAAAAAGAAAUGGCAAAAAGAGGUUUGCAUUUACAUUUCAUUGUUUUAAUUUUUAUUUGACUUUUGUCUGGAUUUGGCUCCCAUACUCCCUUUGUCUUAUGUAGUGGUUCUUUCCCUGCCUUGUGUUUUGUUUGUGCUUUGUGUUUCUUUGUUUAAGCC